AUUGUGUUUGAUUAAUAAAAAAAAACAAAAAAAUCUGUUCUUAUCACUUUAAUAUCUGAUAUGUCCUCUAUCAGGGGACAACAUAUUAAAUGGAUUUUUAGCAAUGGAAGUUGAAAAAGGGCCUUGCUCCAUUCGCUCCACGCAACGACCGGGUAUUGCAGCACCGCAGGGAACGGUGCACCCUUC
rnacentral:snRNA from 1 species